GAAUAAAUACCAUCUCUUCCAAAAAGUUUCGACCUCUCUCUCCCAAAAACCUUCGCCGGAGAUUACGAUGAAGGAAAACCACCAUCGACGGCACCGGAAAAGAAAAACCUUUUACGAUUGCCUACUGAUGCUGUCGAGAUUUUGAUCAGUCAAGAUUGGAGAGUUGCAAUAAUAUUCAGAGGCAGAACUACUUGUGUUGAAAGGGCGGAGCAGUAGAACUGCAACAACUAAAAGUUGAAAUCUAGGUUGUUUCUGAUCAAUUUCUUGCAGCAAUAUUGGCAGCAAAUCUGCAUCGACAUAAAUCAAGAAGGGUGCUCAAGCAAAAAUAAGAAAAUAUCUAACCGUAUUCCAGCUUGAUCACUUGCAUCUUUGUGAAAUCAAAAGGUUUCGUCGUUGACAACAAAAAGAACCUUCCAAGCUACAAGGUCAAAUGAAAAUGAAGCACGACAGUCAGAAGGUGGAUUACCUUCAUCUUUGCGAAACCAAAAGGUGGAGAAGAUCAGGAUGAUGAAGAAGAGCUAGACCUUACUUGAGAUAGAAUUUUGAAUUGUUAUAGAUGAAUGUUUUAGGAAUCUUUUGUUAUCAACGUUUUUGGAACUUACUUUCUUGAAAUGUACUAAACUUAUGCGCUUGGGGUAGAA